rnacentral:ncRNA from 2 species
AAACGGGGUGCGGUUUACCGCUGAGAUUAUACCCGUGAACCUGAUCCAGAUAAUGCUGGCGGAGGAAUUUGA